rnacentral:rRNA from 1 species
UUCCCCCUAGUAACGGCGAGUGAAGCGGGAAGAGCUCAAAUUUGAAAUCUGGUAGCCUUCGGUUGCCCGAGUUGUAAUCUAGAGAAGUGUUUUCCGUGCCGGCCCAUGUACAAGUCCCUUGGAACAGGGCGUCAUAGAGGGUGAGAAUCCCGUCCUUGACAUGGACCCCCGGUGCUUUGUGAUACACUUUCAACGAGUCGAGUUGUUUGGGAAUGCAGCUCAAAAUGGGUGGUGAAUUCCAUCUAAAGCUAAAUAUUGGCGAGAGACCGAUAGCGAACAAGUACCGUGAGGGAAAGAUGAAAAGCACUUUGGAAAGAGAGUUAAACAGUACGUGAAAUUGUUGAAAGGGAAACGAUUGAAGUCAGUCAUGCUCUUGGGACUUACCUCCCUUGAGUGGGGUCAACAUCAGUUUUGAUCGAUGGAUAAAGGCACGGGGAAGGUAGCACUCUCGGGUGAACUUAUAGCCUCGCGUCAUAUACAUUGAUUGGGACUGAGGAACGCAGCAUGCCUUAUGGCCGGGAUUCGUCCACGUACAUGCUUAGGAUGUUGACAUAAUGGCUUUAAACGACCCGUCUUGAACC